rnacentral:rRNA from 1 species
GAUGAACGCUGACAGAAUGCUUAACACAUGCAAGUCAACUUGAAUUUGGGUUUUUAACUUAGGUUUGGGUGGCGGACGGGUGAGUAACGCGUAAAGAACUUGCCUCACAGCUAGGGACAACAUUUGGAAACGAAUGCUAAUACCUAAUAUUAUGAUAAUAGGGCAUCCUAUAAUUAUGAAAGCUAUAAGCGCUGUGAGAGAGCUUUGCGUCCCAUUAGCUAGUUGGAGAGGUAACGGCUCACCAAGGCGAUGAUGGGUAGCCGGCCUGAGAGGGUGAUCGGCCACAAGGGGACUGAGACACGGCCCCUACUCCUACGGGAGGCAGCAGUGGGGAAUAUUGGACAAUGGACCGAGAGUCUGAUCCAGCAAUUCUGUGUACACGAUGAAGUUUUUCGGAAUGUAAAGUGCUUUCAGUUGGGAAGAAACAAAUGACGGUACCAACAGAAGAAGUGACGGCUAAAUACGUG